GCGUGGAUAGUUUAGUGGCAGAAUAAUUGGCUUCCAACCAAUUGACCGGGGUUCGAGUCCCCGUCUGCGCA
rnacentral:tRNA from 1 species